GUAUAAGUUGUAAAGAGGCCUACAUUGCAUAUGUAAAAGACGGUGAUAGAAGGGAUACUAGCUCACAUUUGGCUAGGCAACCCCCACACAAGUUUUUUCCAGAUACAGCAGUUGAAUAAUCCCAGACAAAGCAGAAGAGAGUCAAACAACUUCCAUAAGAACCUAGCAGAUGGGAUUUACAGAUCCCGGAAGACUAAAGAUAAAAGAGUCAAAGAGUGUUUAGUAGCUGAAAAUUUCA
rnacentral:misc_RNA from 1 species